GAUGAAGAACGUAGCGAAAUGCGAUAAGUAAUGUGAAUUGCAGAAUUCAGUGAAUCAUCGAAUCUUUGAACGCACCUUGCGCUCUUUGGUAUUCCGAAGAGCAUGCCUGUUUGAGUGUCAUGAAAAUAUCAACCUUGACUUGGGUUUUGUGCUCUAGUCUCGGCUUGGAAUUGGGUGCUUGCCGCUUUUACGAGCGGCUCACCUUAAAUGUAUUAGCUGGAUCUGUCUUUGAGACUUGGUUUGACUUGGCGUAAUAAGUAUUUCGCUAAGGACAUUCUUCGGAGUGGCCUCGUUUCUAGGACGCUUGUCCGCUUUCCAAUACAAGUUCCACCUCGUGGACAUGACUUUUUAUUAUCUGGCCUCAAAUCAGGUAGGACUACCCGCUGAACUUAAGCAUAUCAAUAAGCGGAGA
rnacentral:misc_RNA from 1 species